GACGAACGCUGGCGGCGUGCUUAACACAUGCAAGUCGAACGGUAAGGCCCUUCGGGGUACACGAGUGGCGAACGGGUGAGUAACACGUGGGUGAUCUGCCCUGCACUUCGGGAUAAGCCUGGGAAACUGGGUCUAAUACCGGAUAGGACCAUGGACUUCACGGUUUGUGGUGGAAAGCUUUUGCGGUGUGGGAUGGGCCCGCGGCCUAUCAGCUUGUUGGUGGGGUAAUGGCCUACCAAGGCGACGACGGGUAGCCGGCCUGAGAGGGUGUCCGGCCACACUGGGACUGAGAUACGGCCCAGACUCCUACGGGAGGCAGCAGUGGGGAAUAUUGCACAAUGGGCGCAAGCCUGAUGCAGCGGCGCCGCGUGAGGGAUGACGGCCUUCGGGUUGUUAAACCGUCUUUCUAACUAGGGACGUAAGCGCAAGU
rnacentral:rRNA from 1 species